AAUACACCCCCCUGAAUCAACGACUCCAUCGGUUAUCGACUCCGACUCCGACUCAUAUCGACUUCUCCUCUGUUCCUAUUGGCUUCUUCUUCUUCUCCAACGAAUUACUUGAUUAGGGACCCUUGAACUCAUGGAGAGUGAGCAACACAAUUAAGUUGUAGUGACAUGCUAUAGUAGAGACAUUGCUACACAGCUUGCAACGAUUGAAAAGGUGCCAGAAUUUCUCAAUAUUCUGCUUGCAAAAGAAAAGAAGAGUUAGUCUCUAUCAUUGAUGGAUAGGAGUUGGAUUCAGUUACGCACUAGGGGAAAGCGAGAAUAUAUCAAUGGGGUGAAACAAUUCAUGAAUUUUGCAAUUGCCCACAAGAAGCCAGGGUCUGAAUUAAUUCCUUGUCCAUGCAUGGAUUGCAAUAAUUUUCGUAAAUAUAGCCCAGACCAAGUUGAGGAUCAUUUAUAUGCAAAUGGAAUGGCUAUGUAUUAUACUAAGUGGACAAAUCAUGGAGAAGAAGACAAUGAUUUUGAACCAGAAGAUGAUAUCAUGGAAUUUGAAAAUGAAGAGGAUGUUGAUGAUGUAGUUGAGAUGUUAAAUGAGUUCCAAGCUCAUGAUGAUAGCGAUUCUCAAGAACAUGUCCCUAUCAUGGAAGAAAGUAAGUUUAGACGAUUGAUGAGCGAUGCUGAGCAAGAGUUGUAUCCAGGUUGUCAAAAAUUCUCUAAAUUGUCCUUCAUUGUGAAGUUGCUUCAUUUGAAGAUAAUGUUUCGUGGCAGCAACAAGUUCUUUACAGCAUUGCUUGAUUUAGUCAAGGAGGCAUUACCUGAUGGAAACACAUGUCCCAUAUCUUAUUAUGAAUCAAAAAAGGUUAUUCGUGACUUGGGUCUCAGUUAUGACAAGAUUCAUGCAUGUAAAAACGAUUGUGUACUCUUUUGGGAGAAGUAUGAAUAUAAAUUGGAGUGUCCAGUAUGUAAUGAGCCUAGGUACUCUUCUGAUAAUGGCAAGAAGAAGGUUCCCCAGAAAAUCUUGAGAUACUUUCCCUAAAUCAAGAGAAUUAAUAAAUUUCUUUUUCAUCUACAAUACUUGCUAUGAAUUCUAGAAUUUUUGAUUUGAUCUUUACACAGAAAACAAGCGAAAAAAACAAGACAAACAGGGACAAGUUAGAGAUAACACAUUGUGCAGGGACAAAGGCAUUUAGUCGUCUUAGAACUGAAAAUUGAAAUCCUGAAACUAGAGAGGAAAUUGGUCGUAUUGACCUUUUCAAGCUCACACGAUACAGUGAAAAGAUAUCUGCAUGGGUUGGUGAUACAGCAAAGAAUGCUUUUGAAGAGAUGAAAAAUAUACAAAACGAGCCACAAAUGAAUGAAAAAUCUGGUGAAAUAAUGUCUGCAGAUGAGAUCUAUGAUGAAGUGCAAAAUUGUUGGUCCACCACGAUCAAGCUAUAUACGUGGCUUAGGAGCAGGCCCAAAGCCUAAAAGGUCUAAAUUUUCUGCAAAUGAUGCUCAAGUGAGGCAGGCGAAUCAAAGGGCAUAUGAAGCGGAAAGAAGAGCAAUUCAGCUUGCAGAUGAAUUGAUGGCUGCAAAGUCUACUGCAGCUCAGCAAAAUGAGGAGUUAGAGAUGGUCAAAGCUGGUGCAGCUCAACAAAAUGAAGAGUUAGAGGCAGUGAAGGUUAGUGCUGCUCAACAAAAUGAAGAGUUGGAGGCAUUAAAGGCAAGACAAAAUCAGACUGACACACUUUUACUCAAAUUGAUGGCGCAGUUGUCCUCCCAAAAAUGAAGGUACAGCAUUGAAAAAAUUGGCAGAUGAAAAGGGCAUCAAGCAACAUACAUAUCAUUGAAGGCUUUUGAACUUCUAGGAAGACUUGUAUGUACUUCCUUUUAUUUUGAAAUGGCUAUCAAGGAUGGAUAUUGACAUUUGUAUAUUUUGGAUUUAGAAAGUUAUUAUUUCAAGAUGGAGGUUGAUGUUUAUUAUUGGAUUGAUAUAAUCAACCCUUGUUAACCAUCAGUUUUACAGUACAUUUUCAUAUGGUGGUUUUGGGAUAUUGAAGGCUACUAUUGAGUCGUUUAUUGCAUAAAGA